rnacentral:lncRNA from 1 species
GGUAACUUAACCAGCUAGUCUGGGUGCCUAAAUUCAGUUCUGUGAAAACAUUUCUGGUUGUACCAUAGAAAACAAUAUCAUGCACCUUUAUGUCAAUAUAUAAUAUCCUGUGAAGCCACAAAAAAGUCCAUUUUCCUGCCUUCUUCUAGUUUAUAUGUUCAUCAGCUUUUCAGAAUGCUUUAUUCCUGUUUCCCCCGCAUCCCAAAAGGCCCAGAAUUCAACUUAAUUUGGUGGUAUAAUUCACAUACAGUGUAUAUGCUAUGUAGUAGUAGAGGAUGUUGGCCUUUGUUCUGUUCCUUCUUUUUAUGUCUUUCUACAGAAUGGUAUCUUGACAUCCCAUGCUAAAAUUUUUUAUAGCUGUAAUUGUUCUUCUCAGAGACAUCACAGAGCUGUUUGGAAAUCUUCUGACCAGAUAGGUGUCUGUUGGAAAAUGAUCAACAUCUGCAAGUGUCAAAAUGAUUCUGGAGAAGUAGAAUCACCUAAGAAGUCAGAAGAGAGUUCAAACAGUGUUGUCCACAUUGCAAACACAUGCAGGAAUACUGCCCAUGCACGAGGCGCUUCCUCAUUUUCUGCAUUGAAAACAGCCCUUGCUCCAGAGCCUAUAAACGGUGAAGUGCCCCCUCUAAUAUUUGCAGCAGUGUGAUCUCCUGUUGAACUGUUAGACAUUGGACUCUGCCAUCUGGAGAACUUGUGGGGUUCUGAUCUCAAAAGGGCAGAACAGUGCAGAAGAAGGGAAAUCCAGGUGGAAGGAGCAGAUGAACAAAAAGCCCACUAUACCCUGAUGAAAAAUUUGCUGUUGUACUUCCUGGGAAGAACCACUCUGGCUCCUUCCUCAGGAAGCUAAGAGCCCAUCUCUUACUGCAAGAGAGCAGGAAGAAAAGAUUGUGCUGAGCCACCGAGAAAGUCCAAGUGGAGUAAAUGAUGUCUUGGAGGAAGUGAUCUAUUGCUGCCUGGGACUGGUAGCUGGAAAAGCUCUGCUAUUGUACAGCUGGACUCCCACUGACACCUCUGGGAACUGCACAGACGAAAUCCUAGAAAG